rnacentral:rRNA from 1 species
CUACGUGCCAGCAGCCGCGGUAAUACGUAGGUCCCGAGCGUUGUCCGGAUUUAUUGGGCGUAAAGCGAGCGCAGGCGGUUAGAUAAGUCUGAAGUUAAAGGCUGUGGCUUAACCAUAGUACGCUUUGGAAACUGUUUAACUUGAGUGCAAGAGGGGAGAGUGGAAUUCCAUGUGUAGCGGUGAAAUGCGUAGAUAUAUGGAGGAACACCGGUGGCGAAAGCGGCUCUCUGGCUUGUAACUGACGCUGAGGCUCGAAAGCGUGGGGAGCAAACAGGAUUAGAUACCCCGGUAGUCCUGGCCGUAAACGAUGGGUACUAGGUGUAGGAGGUAUCGACCCCUUCUGUGCCGGAGUUAACGCAAUAAGUACCCCGCCUGGGGAGUACGACCGCAAGGUUGAAACUCAAAGGAAUUGACGGGGGCCCGCACAAGCGGUGGAGUAUGUGGUUUAAUUCGACGCAACGCGAAGAACCUUACCAGGUCUUGACAU